rnacentral:rRNA from 1 species
GAUGAACGCUGGCGGCGUGCCUAAUACAUGCAAGUCGAGCGAACAGACGAGGAGCUUGCUCCUCUGACGUUAGCGGCGGACGGGUGAGUAACACGUGGAUAACCUACCUAUAAGACUGGGAUAACUUAGGGAAACCGGAGCUAAUACCGGAUAAUAUAUUGAACCGCAUGGUUCAAUAGUGAAAGACGGUUUUGCUGUCACUUAUAGAUGGAUCCGCGCCGCAUGAGCUAGUUGGUAAGGUAAUGGCUUACCAAGGCAACGAUGCGUAGCCGACCUGAGAGGGUGAUCGGCCACACUGGAACAGAGACACGGUCCAGACUCCUACGGUAGGCAGCAGUAGAGAAUCUUCCGCAAUGGGCGAAAGCCUGACGGAGCAACGCCGCGGAAGUGAUGAAGGUCUUCGGAUCGUAAAACUCUGUUAUUAGGGAAGAACAAAUGUGUAAGUAACUAUGCGCGUCUUGACGGUACCUAAUCAGAAAGCCACGGCUAACUACGUG